rnacentral:rRNA from 6 species
CUCUCGGCAAUGGAUAUCUCGGCUCUUGCAUCGAUGAAGAACGUAGUGAAAUGCGAUACUUGGUGUGAAUUGCAGAAUCUCGUGAACCAUUGAGUCUUUGAACGCAAGUUGUGCCCGAGGCCUUGUGGCCGAGGGCACGCCUGCUUGGGCGUCAUGGC